UGUCACGACCCGAUUUAUCAAGUCAUGAUGGCACCUACUAUAACCCACCAGUAGGUAAGCCAACCCGUAACCCGGAACAACAAGUAAUGGGUCUGAGGGUAGAAACUAAACAAGAGUAGGAAAUUAACAAUAUAAACAGGCGGAAUCAAACCAAAAACAUAUAUACAAAUAAAGAUCCCUCCCAGAACCUGGAAGUCACCAGUACAGAGCUACUACAAAAUGAGUACAAGUCCCAAAACUGGACAACAACAACUGGACUGUCUCGAAAGGAAAAAGACAAGUCUAUAUAUACAGAUGGAGACUGAAAUAGUACAAAACGCCAUGUGCUCACCCCCGUCUCCGGAUAAGUCUACUCCAAGCUCGAUCAACGCUGGCUACUAGUUCUCGGACCUGCAUCACAAAAUAGAUACAGAGCGUAGCAUGAGUACCGACUGUAGCUAAAACCAGAUCACAGGUAAGCUGGACCACGGACUCUAACCGGGUACUGUAGCUAAAACCAGAUCACAGGUAAGCUGGACCACGGACUCUAACCGGGUACUGUAGCUAAAACCAGAUCACAGGUAAGCUGGACCACGGACUCUAACCGGGUACUGUAGCUAAAACCAGAUCACAGGUAAGCUGGACCACGGACUCUAACCGGGUACUGUAGCUAAAACCAGAUCACAGGUAAGCUGGACCACGGACUCUAACCGGGUACUGUAGCUAAAACCAGAUCACAGGUAAGCUGGACCACGGACUCUAACCGGGUACUGUAGCUAAAACCAGAUCACAGGUAAGCUGGACCACGGACUCUAACCGGGUACUGUAGCUAAAACCAGAUCACAGGUAAGCUGGACCACGGACUCUAACCGGGUACUGUAGCUAAAACCAGAUCACAGGUAAGCUGGACCACGGACUCUAACCGGGUACUGUAGCUAAAACCAGAUCACAGGUAAGCUGGACCACGGACUCUAACCGGGUACUGUAGCUAAAACCAGAUCACAGGUAAGCUGGACCACGGACUCUAACCGGGUACUGUAGCUAAAACCAGAUCACAGGUAAGCUGGACCACGGACUCUAACCGGGUACUGUAGCUAAGCCUGGACAUAAGUAAGCUGGACCACGGACUCUAACCGGGUACUGUAGCUAAGAAUCAAUAUCCAACCAUACGUCGCGGGAAAUAUCACCAAACUGAUAACCUCAAAUAAUCAUUUUAGUCCGACCCUCAUAUACCCCAAAUCGCCGAGGAAGUAUCCAAUAGUCAGUAAGCUAGACCACGGACUUUAACCGGGUACUAUAACCGAUAAAAAACAGGGCAUUAUAGAUACAAGGUCAUAAGUUGAGUUACCGCCUAGCUAAGGCUCAAUCUAUCAGACUCAAGUCUGCUAUAUCAGUCUACAAGGAGCUGACCGUCCGAAACGACGUCGGAAGAAGUUCUACUGCUCAACGACAUCCGAAAUCUCGCAAGUCUAUGGCAACACUAGUCUAAGCCUAGACUAAGGCCAAACAUACUUUAAAUCAAUAUUAUCAUAUACACCACAAGUUAUGGAUAUUCAAUAAUAUCAAGAGACAUGCUGUCAUAAUCCAACACUUUCCCGAAAUAAGGUCUAAGGCAGAAAUUAUUGAAAUUUAGCAUGCUCGACACCCGACCCACGCCAUACUCAAGCAAAUCAAUAAACAAAUGCCUAAACAUGCUCAAUCUCACGAGAGAAAGCCAUAGCCUACCUGAAAGCCGAUCACGCGUGCUCCAACUCACGGUACCGGAUCUUUUCCCCUCCGAACGGUCUCCAAAUGCUUCCCCACUAACAACAGGUUAAUCACCUCGUCAUUACUAAUAUAUUGACACUAAAAUUAUAGUUUUCGGAGACGGACCCAAAAUCGGGUCUAAAAUAGGAUUGUGGAGCCCACAAUUGGAAUCUCGAAAACGAAUCCGUGGAAACGUCCCAAAUACCUUACUAAACUAAUACCCCAAAAUUUAGCACAACCAGAUGCCUAAAACAUAGCAAAUCAGCCACAACAAUUAAAAUGGGCAGUCCCUUGAUCACCAAAUUCUGGGAAAACGAGACCCUUUCAACCCAAACAGAUUUUACCACGACGAUUCUUGCGAAAAACUCUACAAGUUAGCCACAAGAAUGACUCAAAACGGACCUAAGAUGAUCAAGAUCUCACAUUUCAAAAUUCAACAACAAUUCAAUCCGGCAAUCACCCUGUCAGUGGCUAAAAUCGAUUCCUUACCUCAAACGAAGCCUCCCCUCGCGUUUCUGAGAUCACCGCUAGAUUCCCCACGAAAUUCUCUUGAAGUUAGCCUUUUGAAGGACCUAAUUUGGACUCAAAAUGAAGGAGAAAUCUUAUGUUGAAGUUGAGGGAAAAAAUGGACGAAAAUCGUCCUAAAAUCUGGAAAUUUCCAGAUUUCC
rnacentral:lncRNA from 1 species